rnacentral:rRNA from 1 species
AUGAAGAAAAUGAUCAAAAUGGUCUUACAGCAGUGUCAGGUCUGUCAGCUCGCGAAUCCUGAUCGUGUACCUUAUCCUGGUUUACUGCAACUAUUGUCAGUGCCUUCACAGCCAUGGGAAAUGACGACAAUGGACUUCAUUGAAGGUUUACCAGUUUCACGACACUACAAUUGCAUAUUGGUGGUCAUUGACAAACUGACCAAAUAUGGUCAUUGCAUUGCACUCAAACAUCCCUACACGGCUGCCACAGUGGCUGAAUCCUUCCUCGAUCGUGUGUAUCGUCUCCAUGGCCUCCCUGACUCAUUGGAUUCAGAUUAG